UUGGGCAAGUCUGGUGCCAGCAGCCGCGGUAAUUCCAGCUCCAAUAGCGUAUAUUAAAGUUAUUGCAGUUAAAAAGCUCGUAGUUGAACCUUGGGCCUGGCUGGCCGGUCCGCCUCACCGCGAGUACUGGUCCGGCUGGGCCUUUCCUUCUGGGGAACCUCAUGGCCUUCACUGGCUGUGGGGGGAACCAGGACUUUUACUGUGAAAAAAUUAGAGUGUUCAAAGCAGGCCUUUGCUCGAAUACAUUAGCAUGGAAUAAUAGAAUAGGACGUGCGGUUCUAUUUUGUUGGUUUCUAGGACCGCCGUAAUGAUUAAUAGGGAUAGUCGGGGGCGUCAGUAUUCAGCUGUCAGAGGUGAAAUUCUUGGAUUUGCUGAAGACUAACUACUGCGAAAGCAUUCGCCAAGGAUGUUUUCAUUAAUCAGGGAACGAAAGUUAGGGGAUCGAAGACGAUCAGAUACCGUCGUAGUCUUAACCAUAAACUAUGCCGACUAGGGAUCGGACGGGAUUCUAUGAUGACCCGUUCGGCACCUUACGGGAAAC
rnacentral:rRNA from 1 species